GACGAACGCUGGCGGCGUGCUUAACACAUGCAAGUCGAACGGAAAGGCCCUGCUUUUGUGGGGUGCUCGAGUGGCGAACGGGUGAGUAACACGUGAGUAACCUGCCCUUGACUUUGGGAUAACUUCAGGAAACUGGGGCUAAUACCGGAUAGGAGCUCCUGCUGCAUGGUGGGGGUUGGAAAGUUUCGGCGGUUGGGGAUGGACUCGCGGCUUAUCAGCUUGUUGGUGGGGUAGUGGCCUACCAAGGCUUUGACGGGUAGCCGGCCUGAGAGGGUGACCGGCCACAUUGGGACUGAGAUACGGCCCAGACUCCUACGGGAGGCAGCAGUGGGGAAUAUUGCACAAUGGGCGGAAGCCUGAUGCAGCAACGCCGCGUGCGGGAUGACGGCCUUCGGGUUGUAAACCGCUUUCGCCUGUGACGAAGCGUGAGUGACGGUAAUGGGUAAAGAAGCACCAGCUAACUACGUG
rnacentral:rRNA from 1 species